UCUCCACCAGGGCAGCAAUCUUGGUCUGUUUUGGUGCAUGGAUGUGUCCUGAUGUCCCUGGCAUGGGCAGGGAGGCAGCAGGAAGCAGAUCCCUGCAAGAGUGGCACCUGGGAGCAAAAACUGCAGGGAAGGGAAGUCGGGGGUUUGGACGCCGGCUUGGUCUCCGGGACCCGGGGGAGCCAAGGCUGCGUUUGUGAAGCACACGCUCUGGGCAGACAGGCUGCAGGCUCAGUCCGCGCCAGAUGUGGAAUACCUUCCAGCUGAGAGUAGCUUCUGGCAGCGGAGAUGUUUGUGGAUCCCGAUGCCUGGUGGUAGGCAGGGACGGGCUUCAGUUCCCUGACCCAGGUCUGCCUCAAAAUAACCCGGCAGCGUUUUCCAGUCAUUGCGUCUCUCCGCUUGCAGUCUACACGCACCAAAAUCAGAAUCCCUUGAGAGGCAGACAGUGGAGAGAUUAAAUCCAGACUCCCCCAGAUACUGACCAGAUGACCUUGGGCGAGUUACUUAAUCUUCCCGAGUGUUUACUGCAACCGUGGAGAUCACAAUUACUUCAUAGUAUUGUCACGAGGAUUCCAUGAGCUCAUUGGGUCCCAGCUCUCUAUCGGAUUCGAGUCUCUGUAGGAGAUUCCCCCGACUAUCACCUACACUCCUGUGACUUUAGGAAAAAAAUUCUGCCUCUGGGACAAAGGUGUCGGGAUAAACUAAGACAAAAAUACAUUCAAGGAGAAAACAGAGGAAGUCAUUCUACUUGAAUGGCAGAAUCGAAACUGCUUCCUCCUCAAACAGAGAAAAUCCUGAAGUUUGAAGGCAGAAGAUACCCAUUCCUCCGGCAUUAGCACUGUUACAUCCAGCUUCAGAAUAUAAACCCAGACGAGGUCUCAAAUGACUCAUUACUGGAAUAAAUGUUUCUCAUGUUAAAGGUAUGCAAAUAGAGCUUAAUCGGUGAAGGAAGACUCUGCAAUUCAAUAAAUAAGGUGGAGAAUGUUACUGUGGUUACUGGGGACUCUAUUUGCAUACAGGCUUAUCUUGUUUUUAAAGCAGUAAGGAAAAGAAAGGAGGGAGAGGAAAAUCCCAACUUUCACCACAUGUUCUCAAAAUACAGUCUUAUAAUAAGGCAACCCCAGUUCAGGCCCUGUUCACAAGCCAAAAAAAAAAUGCUUAGUGCGGAAGAAUCCAAAACACAUUAGAAUCAUUUUCUAGACUAUAGAAAGCAAACGAGGCACUAGCCUCAGGUCAUCUUACUGAGAAAAUUACACAAUCAGACUUUUUGUCACUCACGUCUGGUGGGUUAGACCAGGACAGAUUGGGUGACUCCUCUGGUUUCAGGAGUCUGCCCUGCUCAGGCUGUGGGCUAAUGGCUACGCUAGUUCUGCAAGCCAGACAGACAGUCACACUGAAAUAGAAUAAAGACAAAAAGGAAGGAGCCCCCAAGUAGAUUCUCAUGCUGUCUAUCAAAUCCCAAAUCUUGCCACAUUUAACACUGUGAAUUAAAGCCAGAAUCACUUGUCCUCGUUUUGCAAGAAAAGCUCAUAUUAUACAAGUGCGUAAGCACAUAUUAGCGUUUUGUGCUCCCCAAGAAACUGUGCUUUCCUGGCAUCGCUCAUCCAUGCGUGGUGGAAAUAGUUCAAGGAAAUAGAUUGGGCAAAGUCCAUACUGACUCAGGAAGAGAAAGGAUUUAAAGCUUCAGAAAAUGUCUGGAGUUCCCUUGUGGCUCAUCAGGUUAAGGAUCCAGUGUUGUCGCUGCUGUGGCAUGGGUUCGAUCCCUGGCCCCGAAACUUCCACAAGCACAGGUGUAGCCAAAAAAUACAUAAAUACGUAAAGCUUCAGAAAAUGUCUCAAUUACUCCUGUGGUGGGGAGGGAGCAGGGAAAGCGCAUCACAGGCUGAUACAGAUGCACUGGUGCAAGGCGUGUGGUCCCCACGGCAGAGAGCAUCUCCCCCUUUGGUGGUUUUUUUUUUUUUUUUC